AGCGAACGCUGGCGGCGUGCUUAACACAUGCAAGUCGAGCGAAGGUGUUUCAAGGGGUAACCUUGAGAUACACUUAGCGGCGGACGGGUGAGUAAUACGUGGAUAACUUACCUCUAGGCCUGGGAUAACCCCGGGAAACUGGGGCUAAUACCUGAUAAGACCACAUUGUCUACGGACAAAGGGGUAAAAGGUGGCUGGUGCAAACAGCUAUCGCCAAAAGAUAGGUUCACGUCCCAUCAGGC
rnacentral:rRNA from 1 species